UUUAAACACAUACGCAAACUUGCAGGCGGAUUCUUCCCUUAUGCUAUCCUUCUUUUCAUCUAACAGAUGUCAAUUCCGCUUAUUUUUAUUUAUAUAAUUUCAGGUGUAAGGAAAAUUUGUAACUGUAACGUCGAUCACUUAUCUUGGUACCAUCUUCCUCCAGUUCAAAUGGAUAACCUUGAGGAGGACAUCCGUGCCUUGCAGCUUGACUCGUCUGCUGAAGAGGGUAACCUGAUGCCUAAUGAGAAUGGUGGGAAGCCUGAAGAAUCCGUAGUUCCUGAUAACGUUGUAGUUCCUGAUAACGUUGAAGAAGCUGAAGAUAGUAAUAUGAUGCCUAAUACCAAUGGUGGGAAGCCUGAAGAGUCUGUAGUCACUGAUGAUAUGGAAGAAGGAAAAGAACAGGUGGCUUCAGCUUCUGCUUCUGCUUCUGCUUCAGAACAUAUUGAGGAUGAGGUGGGGGGUAAUAUGAAAAAGCGACACUUGAAUGUUGUAUUCAUUGGUCAUGUUGAUGCUGGAAAGUCUACCAUUGGAGGUCAGAUACUAUACCUCAGUGACCAAGUUGAUGAACGCACGAUCCAAAAAUAUGAAAAAGAAGCCAAGGAUAAAAGUAGAGAGAGCUGGUACAUGGCAUAUAUUAUGGAUACCAAUGAGGAGGAGAGGGUUAAGGGGAAAACAGUUGAAGUUGGAAGAGCACAUUUUGAGACGGAGAAUACACGAUUUACCAUAUUGGAUGCGCCGGGCCACAAAAGUUAUGUACCGAAUAUGAUCAGUGGUGCUUCUCAAGCUGAUAUAGGCGUAUUGGUUAUAUCUGCUCGGAAAGGGGAAUUUGAAACUGGAUAUGAGCGAGGUGGCCAGACUCGUGAACAUGUACAACUCGCAAAGACUUUGGGUGUUUCUAAGCUGUUUGUUGUUGUCAAUAAAAUGGAUGAGCCCACUGUUAACUGGGCAAAGGAGAGGUAUGAUGAAAUUGAAGCAAAGAUGGUUCCAUUCCUGAAGUCCUCAGGCUACAAUGUGAAGAAAGAUAUCCAGUUUCUUCCAAUAUCUGGUCUUCUUGGUGCCAAUUUAAAAACAAGAGUGGAUAAAAGUUUGUGUCCGUGGUGGGAUGGUCAAUGUCUAUUUGAAGCACUAGAUGCUGUUGAAGUCCCGUUGCGUGAUCCUAAAGGUCCAUUUAGAAUGCCUAUUAUUGACAAGUUCAAAGACAUGGGGACUGUUGUUAUGGGGAAAGUAGAAUCUGGUAGUGUGCGAGAGGGAAAUAGCCUGUUGCUUAUGCCAAACAAGGUUCAGGUUAAAGUUCUUGCCAUUUAUUGUGAUGAAGACAAAGUUACAAGUGCAGGGCCUGGUGAGAAUCUGCGAAUCCGAAUCUCUGGGAUUGAAGAAGAGGACAUAUUAUCCGGAUUUGUUCUUUCCAGUGUUGAAAAACCAAUAUCUGCAGUUCAUGAGUUCGUUGCUCAGUUGCAUAUUCUUGAAUUGCUGGAUAACGCUAUUUUUACUGCUGGGUACAAGGCGGUAUUGCACAUUCAUGCAGUUGUUGAGGAAUGCGAGAUUCUUGAGCUGAUGCAACAAAUUGAUCCAAAGACUAGGAAACCAAUGAAAAAGAAAGUGCUCUUCGUGAAGAAUGGUGCCGUCGUCAUAUGCCGUGUUCAGGUGUCUAAUAUGAUAUGCAUCGAAAAGUUCUCUGAUUAUCAACAACUUGGCCGGUUCACACUUCGUACCGAAGGGAAAACAGUUGCCAUUGGAAAAGUUACUGAACUUGGUGCAUAAUCAAUUUUGUCAGAGAAGAACAAAAACUGCUCUAUUCCAUCGCGACUAGUUUCUGCAUAUACUACUGUGGGAGGAGCAAGUUAAGCAAUGUUUGGCAACCACAAGCUCUAAUUGAAAAAGCCCCAUUUGGCUAACAGGGAGCAGAGUUUAGAUUCAGAUUAAGGGGAUCAAACAUUAGAUUCAGAGCACCACAUUAAACAAUUAUUCAUCAUUUAGGAGCGUGUGUUGUUGUUGCUGCUGGCACAUAUUGCACAGAUAUAAGGGGAUUACACUUGUGGAAGGAGAGCUGCUGGCAAUCACUUGUUUGAAUAUGAAGUGUUGUAUGCCUAACAUUAUGAAUUAUGACACUUGAUCAACCUAAUUGUGAUUUGUUUCAAGUACAGGUUAUGAUAUAUUAUUAUAACCACUAUUUAUUUAUUUAUUAUCCAUUGUUUGAAUGUCUA